CAGUCGCCGCGGGAAUACGAAGGGUGCAAGCGUUAAUCGGAAUUACUGGGCGUAAAGCGUGCGUAGGCGGUGAGUUAAGUCUGCUGUGAAAUCCCCGGGCUCAACCUGGGAAUGGCAGUGGAUACUGGCUCGCUAGAGUGUGUCAGAGGAUGGUGGAAUUCCCGGUGUAGCGGUGAAAUGCGUAGAGAUCGGGAGGAACAUCAGUGGCGAAGGCGGCCAUCUGGGACAACACUGACGCUGAGGCACGAAAGCGUGGGGAGCAAACAGGAUUAGAUACCCGCGUAGUCCCUGUCUCUUAUAU
rnacentral:rRNA from 1 species